UUCUUUUCAGAUGCCGCAGAAGCCAGUUUCUCUUUUCAGAUGCCGCAGCAGCGCCUGCUUCCGCAGAAGCCAAAUUCUCUUUUCAGAUGCCGUUACAGUUCCCACUCCCGCAGGAGUUUUCUUUUCAGAUGCCGCAGAAGCCAAUUUCUCUUUUCAGAUGCCGCAGCACUGCUCGCUUCUGUAGAAGCCUUUUCUGUAUUUCUCUGCUCCCGCAGGAGCCUUUUUCUGUUUUUCCCCACUGCAGCAGCAGUGUCAGCUCCCACAGGAGCCUUUCCGUAUUUCCUCACUGCCGCAGCAGUAUCCGCUCCCGUAGGAGCCUUUCCUAUCUUUCCCUAUUGCCGCAGCAGUGUAUGCGCCCGCAGGAGCCUUUCCGUAUUUCCCCACUGCCGCAGCAGUUCCUGCUCCAGCAGGAGCCUUCAUCUUUAUUUGAAUCUGCAGCAGUGCUCGCUUCCACAAAAGCCAUUUUUUUUUUCUUUUCAGAUGCCAUAGCAAUUCCCACAGGAGUUUUCUUUUCAGAUGCUGCAGCAGUCCCCGCUCCAGUAGGAGCCUUUGUCUGUAUUUUAAUCUGCUGCAGCAGUGCUUGCUUCUGCAGAAGCUAUUUUCUCUUUUCAGAUGCCGUAGCAGUUCCCACUCCCACAGGAGCCUUUUCCGUGUUAUCCUACUGCCGCAGCAGUAGCUGCUCCCACAGGAGCUCUCCCAUAUUUCCCCACUGGCGCAGCAGUGUCAGCUCCCGCAGGAGCCUUUUCUAUCUUCCCUACUGCCGCAAUAAUCGCAUUUCCAGCAGGAGUUGUCAUCUCUCUCUUUCAAGCGGACGCUUCCAUGGAAGUCAAAUUCUCUUCCUAGACACUGCCACAACAAUUAUAUACCAAAGGAUAUCCAGCACCCAUCUAACAUUAAGCCCAGCUUUUUGGGGAGUCGUAAAUGUGCGUAUCUGGCUGCUGUCAUGUUCUAAUUGCUUUUUGGGGAGCACUUUGGGCUGGGCCAGACUCCGAGCUCAGACCCCUCUCCCCGGACGGAGGGGGGGUGCCCCGGGCUCGGGAGUCUUGCCGGGCUCGGAGCUCUCUUCCCAGACAGCACGCCAAAUACGCAUAACCUUUAUUUAAUUAUAAGUAAAUGUGAACUCGUGAAAUGCACUUGAAAAGGUUUUAGUAUCCCACAAUGUAUUUUAAUACACAAUACAUCACUAAUUUCUAAACAUGCAGAAAUAACUAAUGGUAAAAAACAUGUUUAGCAAAGUGUGAUAGUAACUUUUGUUUUACUUAUUGAUCAUAGACAUCUCUGUUAUCAUGUAGAGUAAAAAUACACCUCUUUGGAGAUGACAUGGGAAGUUGAAGACAGAUGGGGUCACACCAUCUCUAAGACUGACAAUCUGACCUGUCCUGUCAAAAUCAUCAGGCUUGAAGUGCUCACUACAGAGCUUUGACGACUCAGUCACAACAAAACCCUCCCAUCUUAUAGCAACUUCCCAUUGCCUCCUCAAGCCUGUAUCACUGGGAAACCUUCAAAAUGUGAAGAAGAAUAAAAAAACAGCAAAAGAAAAUGAGUAUACGGUC
ensembl:lncRNA